AUUGAACGCUGGCGGCGGGCCUAACCCAUGCAAGUCGAACGAGUGGCGGACGGGAGAGUAGUGUCUGAGAAACUGCGUGAUAGAGGGGGAUAAAUACUGGACACGAUAGCUAAUACCGCAUCACAUCGUAUGUGCCCAGAUGGGAUUAACUAAGAGGGGGGGUAAAGGCGCACCUAGGCGACGAUCCCUAGCUGGUCUGAGAGGAUGAACAGCCACACUUGAACUGAGACACGGUCCAGACUCCUACGGGAGGCAGCAGUGGGGAAUAUUGCACAAUGGGCGCAAGCCUGAUGCAGCCAUGCCGAGUGUAUGAAGAAGGCCUUCGGGUUGUAAAGUACUUUCAGCGGGGAGGCGUUACCCGCAGAAGAAGCACCGGCUAACUCCGUGCCAGCAGCCGCGGUAAUUC
rnacentral:rRNA from 1 species